CUCAUCGCUCUUAAUUUCUACCGACUCUGUCUCUCACUCCAACAACAAUUUUGUGCGGUUUUCCCCGAUGGUCGCCGCCGUAUGGCCGCUGCCGCGUUCAUGUUCCACUUUCCGGCCACUGCCGAAAUAUCGCACAGCCACCACUGUCCACUUUUCCGGCAACCCGAACCAUGCCCAUCGUUGUGUGUCUUAAUCUCAGUGGGUAUGAUUCAAUUCAAAUCCUUACAAAUCGAUUGGCCUAAAUAUUUGUUUUGAUUUUAAUAUGAGAUGCUGUAUACAUGUGUUAUGUAGUUAAGUGGUUAGUUUUGAAACUCAAAAUAUUGUCCGGGUAUUAAAGCUUUUAGUUUGAGAUAUGUGUUCAUGUGUUGGGAGUGGUACUUGAAGAGUUGAGUAGCGGAUUAAAGUUUUAAAUCUAUAUGUAUUCAAGUUAAAUAUCUAGACUACUGCAGGUCUGUUUUUGCAGUACAAUCUUGGGCUCAUAGAGUCGAGUUAUAUGCUUAAUCUUUGUGUGGUUAUGUGCUCCUCGAAGUCUAGUUUCUACUCUCGAAAGAAUUAGAUUAAUUUAAUAAACGAGCUACAAGAUAUGUAUGUUUUAGCACGAGUUGAGCAGAAAAUUCUGGGCAGGUGUGUCUUAUUCUGGGUCCUGCUACCUUUGACUUGGUAUUUAUUCCUGAAAUUUUUAUUGAAGUUUGAUAUUGGGCUCUCGAAUGUGCUGUUAAAGUUUUAUACAAACAGGCCAAUUUUUCAAUUUAUUAAAAAUCUUAGCAUGGGGCUGGUUUCACAGGACAGAUUCAUGUUCCUGACUUGCAGGCUCUGUUUUACUUCAUUAAACAUGGAAUUUGCUUCUGAAAUUUUUAUAGUAGAUUGGAGUAGUGUUUAGGAGUGUCUCCUAAAAAUUUCAUACAAAAACAAUAAAUUUUCAAUUUAUUAAAAAUCAUAAAGUGAGGGAUGUUCAAAUCAUUGGCCUUAGUUUUCUUGCUUUGUUAGUGCAUAGUAUGAGUUUAUAUUUGGUUAAUUGCAUAAAAUUGAUAAAUGGAUUCUUGUGGUGGUGGUAGCUUGUUAUUUGUAUUAGCUUGAUUUCAUGUUUGAAUAUAGAGGGUUUCAUGAGUUUUUACUUGAUACAUGUGGAAAGCCACAUAAAGAUUGAUUCUUCGAAAGAAUUGAGUUAAUUGUUAUAUAUGUGUUAAUAUGAAUUAGAAACUUUAAUUGGAUCCUAUUUUUGAACAUAUAAACGAGUAGUAUGGUCACUUGAGUGUGAUUGCAUUUGAGAUAAAUUGGUAUUAGUUUUUUUGUUGUGGAUUGAUGGUAUUAGUUUAAAACAGGUGGAUUGCUAGAUAAACAGAGGAAGUGCUGUCAAAUUUCUGGCAUGACUAUUAAAUGAUUAUAUGGUAGUUUAUUGAUUUCAGAUUGGAUUGGUUGGUUGUUGGAUCGUAUAGAUAACAGGUGGAUAGCUCGAUAAAUAGAGGAGAUGUUGAAAAUUUGUUAGCAAUUAGGACAUAUUGUCAAUAUGUUAGUGGUUUGUAUAUAAUCAGAUAUGAGAUUAUAUACGAGAUGAAUUCAAUAGUCAUAUAUGUAUAAGUAUCAAUGCAUAUGAUUUAUUUGAUACGUGCUAAUAUGACUACUUGUUUAAUUGUGUGACAAUAUGUGUAUAUAUUAUCAGUAUACAGUGUGUGUAUAUAUCCGAUGGGUAGAAAUAGAGUUCGAUUCUAUGAUUUAGGUGGCGAUUUGGAUUAUUCUUCGACUGAAGUAUUAUUAUACUAUCUUGUAGAACUGAGCUAGACGCGCGUAUCGAGGACGUUAAUAAGUAGUUGAAUUACAAAGCAAGUCAAAUCAGGAAUGAUCUGAUAAGACGAAAC
rnacentral:lncRNA from 1 species